rnacentral:rRNA from 1 species
AUGGAAGUUUGUCAAACUCACUUAAAUCAAUGCUCGAUUUUCUAUACCAUGCAGACUAUUUUUCUAUUAUUUUUAGUUGGCUCUUUUGAUAACCUGCUAUUUCUGUCUCAUAUUUUUCUAAACAAUCUGCUUGGUGCAGCGGUAAAGCUGUUGCCUUGUGACCAUGAGGUCACGGGUUCGAGUCCUGGAAACAGCCUCUUGCAGAGAUGCAGGGAAAGGCUGCGUACAAAAGACCCAAAGUGGUCGGAUCCUUCGCUGGACCCUGCGCAAGCGGGAGCUACGUGCAUCGGGCUGCCCCUUUUAUUUUUCUUAACAAUCUACAACUGGAGUUUGAUGAGCAAGUUUAUCACUGGGCAAUACUCAGCACAACUAUUUCUUGAACUUGAAGCCUUUUCUUUUAACGGGUUAAAUACAUACCAACUGAGCAAAAAGGAAAAUUGA